rnacentral:rRNA from 1 species
UCCCAUUUUGGGGGUGCCUUACCAUGCAGUCGAGCGGCAGCGGAAGUAGCUUGCUACUUUGCCGGCGAGCGGCGGACGGGUGAGUAAUGUCUGGGAAACUGCCUGAUGGAGGGGGAUAACUACUGGAAACGGUAGCUAAUACCGCAUAACGUCGCAAGACCAAAGAGGGGGACCUUCGGGCCUCUUGCCAUCAGAUGUGCCCAGAUGGGAUUAGCUAGUAGGUGGGGUAACGGCUCACCUAGGCGACGAUCCCUAGCUGGUCUGAGAGGAUGACCAGCCACACUGGAACUGAGACACGGUCCAGACUCCUACGGGAGGCAGCAGUGGGGAAUAUUGCACAAUGGGCGCAAGCCUGAUGCAGCCAUGCCGCGUGUAUGAAGAAGGCCUUCGGGUUGUAAAGUACUUUCAGCGGGGAGGAAGGCGUUGAGGUUAAUAACCUCAGCGAUUGACGUUACCCGCAGAAGAAGCACCGGCUAACUCCGUGCCAGCAGCCGCGGUAAUACGGAGGGUGCAAGCGUUAAUCGGAAUUACUGGGCGUAAAGCGCACGCAGGCGGUCUGUCAAGUCGGAUGUGAAAUCCCCGGGCUCAACCUGGGAACUGCAUUCGAAACUGGCAGGCUAGAGUCUUGUAGAGGGGGGUAGAAUUCCAGGUGUAGCGGUGAAAUGCGUAGAGAUCUGGAGGAAUACCGGUGGCGAAGGCGGCCCCCUGGACAAAGACUGACGCUCAGGUGCGAAAGCGUGGGGAGCAAACAGGAUUAGAUACCCUGGUAGUCCACGCCGUAAACGAUGUCGACUUGGAGGUUGUGCCCUUGAGGCGUGGCUUCCGGAGCUAACGCGUUAAGUCGACCGCCUGGGGAGUACGGCCGCAAGGUUAAAACUCAAAUGAAUUGACGGGGGCCCGCACAAGCGGUGGAGCAUGUGGUUUAAUUCGAUGCAACGCGAAGAACCUUACCUACUCUUGACAUCCAGAGAACUUAGCAGAGAUGCUUUGGUGCCUUCGGGGACUCUGAGACAGGUGCUGCAUGGCUGUCGUCAGCUCGUGUUGUGAAAUGGUUGGGGUAAGUCCCGCACGAGCGCACCCUAUCUUUGUUGCAGCGGUCCGGCGGGACUCAAAGGAGACUGCAGUGAUAACUGGAGAAAGGUGGGGAUGACGUCAGUCAUCAUGGUCCUAACAGUAGGCUACCCACGUGCUACAUUGCCCAAACAGGAUGCACCUCGCGGAGUCAAGCGACCUCAUAAGUGCCCUCGUAAUUCGGGAAUGGGAUCUGGGCACUCGA